ACUCCUACGGGAGGCAGCAGUAGGGGAAUCUUCCACAAUGGGCGCAAGCCUGAUGGAGCAACACCGCGUGAGUGAAGAAGGGUUUCGGCUCGUAAAGCUCUGUUGUUAAAGAAGAACACGUAUGAGAGUAACUGUUCAUACGUUGACGGUAUUUAACCAGAAAGUCACGGCUAACUACGUGCCAGCAGCCGCGGUAAUACGUAGGUGGCAAGCGUUAUCCGGAUUUAUUGGGCGUAAAGAGAGUGCAGGCGGUUUUCUAAGUCUGAUGUGAAAGCCUUCGGCUUAACCGGGAGAAGUGCAUCGGAAACUGGAUAACUUGAGUGCAGAAGAGGGUAGUGGAACUCCAUGUGUAGCGGUGGAAUGCGUAGAUAUAUGGAAGAACACCAGUGGCGAAGGCGGCUACCUGGUCUGCAACUGACGCUGAGACUCGAAAGCAUGGGUAGCGAACAGGAUUAGAUACCCUGGUAGGC
rnacentral:rRNA from 1 species